AUUAUUUUGGCAGAUUAGUGCAAUUGAUUUAGGAUCAUUAUAGGUAAUUUUUUACAAGUAAUA
rnacentral:tRNA from 1 species